rfam:Corchorus capsularis cultivar CVL-1 contig06313, whole genome shotgun sequence.
GGUUGCGAUCAUACCAGCACUAAUGACACCGGAUCCCAUACAGAACUCCGCAGGUAAUCGUUCUUGGGCGAGAGUAGUACUAGGAUGGGUGACCUCCUGGGAAGUACCUCGUGUUGCA